UCAUGCCUGGAGAGAGAUCCAGUGAGGCCCUUCUCUUUCUCGUUUCCGUACUCACGACUCUCUAGAGGCGGUUCAGGAUCUUCACGUACACUUGGUCUGUGCUCUAAAUCAGGGGUGUGUGCCCACGGCUGGGGUGGGGCGCGCUACUGGCAUCUGGCAGCUAGAGGCCGGGGUGCCGGCACCCUAGAAGGCAGAACACAGUCCACCCCUCCCCUAACAGAGAAUUCUCUUGGCCCCAGAAGUCGCAAGGGCCUGGGCUCAGGAGCCCUGUCCUAAAAGACACUUUUGCAUGGUUACCUUAAGCCUCAGCGGCCCAAUCACCUUGCUAUGAUGUCACCUCACACCUUUCUUGGGCAUAGAAAAGCUACUAUAAAACCACAGUGAAAAUAAUUUCAGAGUUACAGAGGUCUUAAGGAGAAAAAUCCCACCACAGAUGUUAAAAAUUGUCAAACAGCCCCUGGUAUUUCUGUUAGGCUCUCUUCAACCAGUGAAGGCAACAACAGAGGCCACGAGAUGCUUACAAAUGAUACAGUGCAAAAGCCCGGCAGAUCACAGUUGCCAUCCUGACGGGCUAGGCUGCCCUUGGAAGGUGGUAAGCAAAGAGAGAAAGUGGAGUGGCAAACCAUUCUUCUUUGGUCCCCUCCAGAUAACGGCAUCGUCAGGACUGCUGAGCAAGAAACCCACGGACAUCACCCCCAGGUUGUCUUCCAAGAACUAAACAGGAUGAAACAAGAAACAUUUAAAACCACAGGGCAAGGCACUUCCUUGUCAUUUAUCUGAGCUCAAAAUGAAAAAACCAUUUGGGGAACUAAAUGACCACGUGACUUAUGGGUCUAUUCAUUAUUUUUUGCCAGUUUAUUAUUUAUUUUGAGAGAGGGAGGGACGGACGGAGAGAGAGACGGGGAGAGAGAGAAUUCCAAGUAGGCUCUGCGUUGUCAGCACGGAGCCUGACCUCACAAACCGUGAACUCACGACCUGAGCUGAAACCAAGAGUGAGGCCAUUAACCAAUAGCCACCCAGGCGCCUUGGGUCUAUUCAUUCUUUAAACCCACAAAUCGUUUUGAGCAGGGGGAGAAGAAGGGUUACCAUAUGGGGGGGGGGGGGGACUUGAAAGAGGCCCCCUGGGGCCCUGUGCUGCAGCCUAACCUCAGUUGAAGCAUCCUUUAACUGCUCUCACCUGGGUUGGCAAACCUUAGCUCCCAGGCCAAAUCUCGCCCACCUUCUGCUUUCGUACGUCAAGUUUAUUUACAACCGUGGUCAUUUGUUCACGUAUUAUUACCUUCACACUACAACAGCGGGUAGCGUACCAUCCCUGAACUGCAAAUAAUUACUAUCUGACCCUUCGGAGAAACAGUUUGCCAGUCCCUGAUCUUAACUGUAUUCCCUGCACCUAAAACAGUCCUUCGAUAGUAAGUAUCUGCUGACUGAGUGUUGGGUUGAGGAAAGUGUUGCCAGCCCAACCCACAUCUGCUACGUACACAGGACACACUACCCUGAAAAUAAGGCAAAGAGAAAUAAUAGGGUGCUUGCGUGGCUCAGUCAGUUAAGCCUCUGACUUCAGCUCAGGUCACGAUCUCAUGGUUCGUGAGUUCGAGCCCCGCAUCGGGCUCUGUGCUGACAGCUCAGAGCCUAGAGCCCGCUUUGGAAUCUGUCUCCCUCCCCACCCCCCGCCCCCACGACUUAUGCGCACUCUCUCUCUCAAAAAUAAACACUGAAAAACAAAACAAAACCAACUCACCACUGGAGACCAGCCCGAGCCACUCUGGUGAACCUGCACAAACACAAACAUGGACACACGCAUUUAUAAGAAAUGACACGCUUAGGCACACUUCUCACACAGACCGAUUUACACAUUAAGAAAACAACUUCAUAAAACAAUUCAUCCUCUCAAAUGCUACCACUAAAUCCUUACUAGAGAGUGAACAGCUGGGGAGAGGCCAUGGGUCAUACAAGCUCUAUUUCUCAACCCCCCACCCUCCCUGAGUUGGGUUAUUUUGAAACCCUGGCUGGUUAUGUCUAGUCAGGUUCAAAUAUAACCUGGGGCCGGGGGUAUUUUACAGGUGUGACAGCAACCAGGCAGGGGUUGUCGAGGAUGUGCAGGGGACUGUGGUGCAGCAAGGCCGUCUCUGUAAAAGGCCAGGUGUGAAGCAGCGACACAGACCCUGGCCCAUCAGUGGCCAGGGUGUCAGCCUACGUUCGUUAACAGCAGGCGUUCAACCCCACCCCGCCUCUUCCUCUUCAAGCUGGACCUGACUCCACUUCCAAGUACACGGCAGUCUUAGCAGCUGUGUCGCCGGGCAGCACAGGAGCCCUACUGUUAAAACGCUCUCCGGAGAGCUCAUUCCCACGCCACGUCAGUCUCCCACAGCCAACAGCUCAGUGGCUUUCGGGAUAUUCGCGGGAGCUGGGCCCCCACCACCGGUCAGUUUCAGAACAUUUUCGUCACCCCUUAGCGGUCGUCCCCGAUCCUUCCACCUCCCCCCUAUCCUAGAUGACCACCACCCACCCUUGUCUCUACAGAGGUGCCUGUUCUGGACAUUUCACAGACAUGCAACCAUAAACCAGGUGGUCUCUGAUGACUGGCUUUAAGGGUUUUUUAGCUUUUUUUUAAUUCCAGCAAACAUGCAGCGUUGCAUCAGUUUCAGGAAUACACCACAGCGACUCUACAAUUCCAUCUGUGACUCUGCUCAUCACAACAGGUGUGUCCUUGGUCCCCCUUCACCUGUUUCACCCAGGUCUUCAUUUAAAACAAACAAACAAAAAAAAACGGGCACCCGGGGUCUCAAGAGGUUGAGCAUCCGACUUCAGCUUAGGUCAUGAUCUCACGGUUCAUGGGUUCGAGCCCCGCAUCAGGCUCUGUGCUAAAAGCUCAGAUCCUAGAGACUGCUUCGGAUUCUGUGUCUCCCUCUCUCUCUCUGCCCCUCCCCCACUUGCACUCUCUCUCUCUCUCUCUCUCUCUCUCUCUC